UACGGAGGGAGCUAGCGUUGUUCGGAAUUACUGGGCGUAAAGCGCACGUAGGCGGCUAUUCAAGUCGGGGGUGAAAGCCCGGGGCUCAACCCCGGAACUGCCCUCGAAACUAGAUAGCUAGAAUCUUGGAGAGGCGAGUGGAAUUCCGAGUGUAGAGGUGAAAUUCGUAGAUAUUCGGAAGAACACCAGUGGCGAAGGCGACUCGCUGGACAAGUAUUGACGCUGAGGUGCGAAAGCGUGGGGAGCAAACAGGAUU
rnacentral:rRNA from 1 species